rnacentral:rRNA from 1 species
AUUGAACGCUGGCGGCAGGCUUAACACAUGCAAGUCGAGCGGGGUAAUGGUGCUUGCACUAUCACUUAGCGGCGGACGGGUGAGUAAUGCUUAGGAAUCUGCCUAUUAGUGGGGGACAACAUCUCGAAAGGGAUGCUAAUACCGCAUACGUCCUACGGGAGAAAGCAGGGGAUCACUUGUGACCUUGCGCUAAUAGAUGAGCCUAAGUCGGAUUAGCUAGUUGGUGGGGUAAAGGCCUACCAAGGCGACGAUCUGUAGCGGGUCUGAGAGGAUGAUCCGCCACACUGGGACUGAGACACGGCCCAGACUCCUACGGGAGGCAGCAGUGGGGAAUAUUGGACAAUGGGGGGAACCCUGAUCCAGCCAUGCCGCGUGUAUGAAGAAGGCCUUAUGGUUGUAAAGCACUUUAAGCGAGGAGGAGGCUCUUUUGGUUAAUACCCAGAAUGAGUGGACGUUACUCGCAGAAUAAGCACCGGCUAACUCUGUGCCAGCCGCCGCAGUAAGAC